rnacentral:rRNA from 1 species
AAUGCCCGCAAGGGUGACCCAGCAACGCCGCGUGGAGGAUGAAGGCCGUAAGGUUGUAAACUCCUGUUAGAGGAGAAGAACAGUACCGAUUGGAUCGGUAUUUGACUGUACCCUCAGAGAAAGCCCCGGCUAACUACGUGCCAGCAGCCGCGGUAAUACGUAGGGGGCAAGCGUUGUCCGGAUUUACUGGGUGUAAAGGGCGCGCAGGCGGGAUAGCAAGUCAGAGGUGAAAUCCUACAGCUUAACUGUAGAACUGCCUUUGAUACUGUUAUUCUUGAGUUCGGGAGAGAGAGACGGAAUUCCAGGUGUAGUGGUGAAAUACGUAGAUAUCUGGAAGAACACCAGUUGCGAAGGCGGUCUCUUGGUCCGAUACUGACGCUGAGGCGCGAAAGCGUGGGGAGCAAA